AGAGAAAAAAGGUGGAAAAAACUUAAAGCCCACUAGAGAACAGAGCUGGUGGAAAAUAAUACACAAAAACAUCAGCCUGAGAAGAGGAUUAACUAAUAAGGGGUUGUGAAGAACCUCUAUGAACAUUCAAAGGUUGGAGUUUUGAACAUUUGUUUAGUACUUCAGCAUGUCUGUGUGAAGUCCUUUGCUUGGGGAUUGUUGUUAUCAUGAGUCAAGCCACCAUCUGCACUGAUAUAGAGUAGUCUUGAGAUGGGUUCACCCUCUCUCUUUUGAUACCAAUGGAUAUAAUUCGAAGAUUCCAAACCAGUCACUUUGCAGGUGAGAUAGGAGGUUUUGCUCUCAUAUUUAACCAAAGUCUUUUGACCUUGUUCUACAGUCACACCCAGGACAACUGCUUUGAUGAAAUAAAUAGAAAUGUCAAUUCUUCAAAAUCAGAUUUAUAAUGUUUAAUAGCCAUAUUUUUGUAAAUACUGACCUGAAAUCUCUGAGAAGAGGAGAAUAUAAAUGUAUACAAACAUCAUUCAUCUGGUCUGAAAAAUAAGUUUAUGCUUGGUGUAUUGCUCUCUUUUAGAUUUUUACUUUGCCUUUGUAUGAACUUCAAAUAUAGUUAGCUGAUGUCAUUUCCUGUGCUCAAGAAGGCUGACACAAGAAACAUGUGACACAUACCAAUCGAAUAACAGAACUGGUAGUCAAAGACAGAAAAAAAAGCUCAGGUUUUCUACAGGACACUGUUUGCAGUCUAUGGGGCUAGCUGACUAGUUUCUGUCUAAUUGCAUGUCUAUGUUCAAACUUUUAAGUCACACAUUUUUCAGACAAAUAGUCAAGUUUCUUUCAACUAACCUCUACUAGACAUGGUGCACUGUGAUCAGAAUUGGUGAAAACCUUCAUAGAUAUGUUACUGUAAUAACAUCACUAGAUACAGUGGCCCAAAAACAUAUUUAGACAGUUGCCACACAUGCAAUUUCUGAAUGUCAUUGCAUUAUACAACUAAAUAUUAAGUGGCAUAUGCAAACAAAUGUUGCUAAAUAUUUCUCAGAACUUCACUUAUAUGAGCCAUUUUUGCAAUGACUUUCAGCCAAUUGAUGUCAAUGUUCUUAGUGUAUAAAGUCAAGUUCCCUUCAAGUUCACAACAUAACAGAGUAACCACAUAUGCUGUUCAUCACAUUAACCAUGGACAUGUUCAACUAACAUUUGACAAGCAGAAAGUGUCCAAAUACUUUGGCUCAUGUACUGUCAUACUAUGUACGGCAUUUGAUAAAGAACGCACUUCUCGGCCGUUAAAAAAAAGGAUGUUCUUUAGGUAUGCAGAUGAUUAGUGUAAAUACAUUCUGGACAUACUUCAUCUGAGAACGUGGACAUUUUUUUGGCAUAUUAUAUAGCAGGAAUGUAUAUCCAAAUGCAGCCAUUAGCCCCGUUCACACAUGCAACUAGAUACAUUAAUGAAAAACCGUUGGGUUGCCUUUACUGGUAAAUGUACCCAGUGGCGAUUUUAGGGGGUGGCCUCUCAUUGGCCACCCUGUGGCCACCCCAGAACUGAUUGGUAGUUCAUCAUGUUCAUCAACACAAGAACGAAGAACCAAUAGAAACACCUGUCAAUCAAAGAUGACAUCUCAGGUCAUUUGUUGAUUUAGAGCCACACUGACCCAGGGUCAGUUUUAUAAUUCUGACUAUUAUAGUAGUGGUGGGACUGAAGCUGUGUGAGCUGAUCUUUGAUCAGUGGGGGGAGGGGCAGGCCGCAGGUGGCCAGGCAGGUCUGGAGUAUAAUGGUCAGUCAGAAGCACGAAGCUGACACGAGCUAGCGUCUACCUCCAACGAGUUGACGACGUCGAUUUGUGGUCAAAAAGAAAGCAGUUAUCUGAGAGAUUUAAUGGACUCAAAGCCAGGAUCAUAUUUUGUGGAUCCAUCGUUUAUGUCAACAUACAGAAUUCUUUUCAAGGUUUCUCCCUCUUUUUGUUGAUACCAGAAGAUGUAAUCCCAGCAGUCUGAAGGGAAAAGGCAAUCUAUGAUGGCUAUUUUUUCCACUGAUUUGGUCAGUGAGAGUUUCUGUUGUAGCUCUCCAUCUUAUCCACUGCAAAAAAUACAUUUCAUAGAGAUAACGUCAUAGAAUAUUAGGUUACAUUAAUAAUAUUUUUUUAUGAUAACAGAACAAAUAAUAUGACACAUAUUUAAAGACUUACCUCUGCAUAUCAGCUGAAUAAACAGUAAAAAUGGUGAAUUCAGAUGAACACUCAUAGUGGCAGAGAGAUUCUAGAGAGGUUCUGACUUUUCUCUUGAAUGAGGGUGGAACUGGUUUCAAUGAGGAACUAACAGGAAAUUGUGUUUAAAAAGCGGUAACCUGCAAUUGUUACUUAACCCCUGAAAUCAGUUUACUUAAUGUAACCUUAUGUAGUCUAAUGUGAUUCAGACAUGUCAAAUAAUAUUUUGUUUUGUGUCAAAGCAAAUGUAAUUUAGAUGUUACCACAUGAAGCACAUUUUUAGAUUAACAUAAGUUAAAGAAGAGCCAUAAAAUAUAGUUCCUUUCCAUCAAUUAGACUGCAGUAAUAUGUAUUAUUAUUCUAUUAUUGUAGUUUUUAUAUUGUGUAUUUGUUAGUAUUGAGAGGGCCUGCAAAUAUUUUUAAGGUAUUUCCACUAUACAUUUCAUGUUCAUAAACCAAACAUUAUUGUUUCCUUUGCUGUUGAAAAACUUUGUUGACUCUUUGUUUGAAUUCUAUUUUUUGCUAUCUGAAAGCAUAUUUGCUGCACCAAACUGCUCUAUUUGGUGAGUGCUCUCAUUAGAGUCAAUACUGUAAUAAAUGUGGUUUAUAACAGCUCGAUUUUGGUUUUGACUUUGUAAUUUCCUGUUGUGGAAUAAAAGUCUCUUUCUAUUUUAAUGUGAAAUAUUUUUCUCACUGUGGCUUUCCAGCACGCACAGUAAUACACGCCAGAAUGUUCCUUCUUUAUUUUUGUACGUUUUAUAUCAUAUGAAUUGUUUCUCAGUGAUCAAAUCUUUUGCUUCGCUUGUGGCACUGUCAGAUGCACUGAUGUAGAGUAGUCUUUUAAAUGUUUCACCAUCUUUCUUUUGGUAUCAGUGGACAUAAUCAUCAGAGCCCAAUCAGUUACUUCACAUUUCAAGUUCACUGUUUUUCCAGGUUGCUUCACCCAGACCUUCUGAGGUUGGUUUAAUGUCAAAAAUUCCACACCUGUGAUUCAAUAAAGUGGAAAUUAAUCAUUUCAAGUAAGCAGUCACAUUCAUGUCUACUCCCCCUUUACUUUUGAAGUGUACUUACCAUGGAUCAUUAAGAGGACAACAGUGUACAUGUUCAUGAGCAUCUUUCAUUUGG